GCAAGUAGAACGCUGAAGAGAGGAGCUUGCUCUUCUUGGAUGAGUUGCGAACGGGUGAGUAACGUGUAGGUAACCUGCCUUGUAGCGGGGGAUAACUUUUGGAAACGAUAGCUAAUACCGCAUAACAAUGGAUGACACAUGUCAUUUAUUUGAAAGGGGCAAUUGCUCCACUACAAGAUGGACCUGCGUUGUAUUAGCUAGUAGGUGAGGUAACGGCUCACCUAGGCGACGAUACAUAGCCGACCUGAGAGGGUGAUCGGCCACACUGGGAUUGAGACACGGCCCAGACUCCUACGGGAGGCAGCAGUAGGGAAUCUUCGGCAAUGGGGGCAACCCUGACCGAGCAACGCCGCGUGAGUGAAGAAGGUUUUCGGAUCGUAAAGCUCUGUUGUAAGUCAAGAACGAGUGUGAGAGUGGAAAGUUCACACUGUGACGGUAGCUUACCAGAAAGGGACGGCUAACUACGUGCCAGCAGCCGCGGUAAUACGUAGGUCCCGAGCGUUGUCCGGAUUUAUUGGGCGUAAAGCGAGCGCAGGCGGUUUGAUAAGUCUGAAGUUAAAGGCUGUGGCUCAACCAUAGUUCGCUUUGGAAACUGUCAAACUUGAGUGCAGAAGGGGAGAGUGGAAUUCCAUGUGUAGCGGUGAAAUGCGUAGAUAUAUGGAGGAACACCGGUGGCGAAAGCGGCUCUCUGGUCUGUAACUGACGCUGAGGCUCGAAAGCGUGGGGAGCGAACAGGAUUAGAUACCCUGGUAGUCCACGCCGUAAACGAUGAGUGCUAGGUGUUGGAUCCUUUCCGGGAUUCAGUGCCGCAGCUAACGCAUUAAGCACUCCGCCUGGGGAGUACGACCGCAAGGUUGAAACUCAAAGGAAUUGACGGGGGCCCGCACAAGCGG
rnacentral:rRNA from 1 species